rnacentral:rRNA from 1 species
GAUAAACGCUGGCGGCGUGCCUAAUACAUGCAAGUCGAGCGAACGGACGAGAAGCUUGCUUCUCUGAUGUUAGCGGCGGACGGGUGAGUAACACGUGGAUAACCUACCUAUAAGACUGGGAUAACUUCGGGAAACCGGAGCUAAUACCGGAUAAUAUUUUGAACCGCAUGGUUCAAAAGUGAAAGACGGUCUUGCUGUCACUUAUAGAUGGAUCCGCGCUGCAUUAGCUAGUUGGUAAGGUAACGGCUUACCAAGGCAACGAUGCAUAGCCGACCUGAGAGGGUGAUCGGCCACACUGGAACUGAGACACGGUCCAGACUCCUACGGGAGGCAGCAGUAGGGAAUCUUCCGCAAUGGGCGAAAGCCUGACGGAGCAACGCCGCGUGAGUGAUGAAGGUCUUCGGAUCGUAAAACUCUGUUAUUAGGGAAGAACAUAUGUGUAAGUAACUGUGCACAUCUUGACGGUACCUAAUCAGAAAGCCACGGCUAACUACGUGCCAGCAGCCGCGGUAAUACGUAGGUGACAAGCGUUAUCCGGAAUUAUUGGGCGUAAAGCGCGCGUAGGCGGUUUUUUAAGUCUGAUGUGAAAGCCCACGGCUCAACCGUGGAGGGUCAUUGGAAACUGGAAAACUUGAGUGCAGAAGAGGAAAGUGGAAUUCCAUGUGUAGCGGUGAAAUGCGCAGAGAUAUGGAGGAACACCAGUGGCGAAGGCGACUUUCUGGUCUGUAACUGACGCUGAUGUGCGAAAGCGUGGGGAUCAAACAGGAUUAGAUACCCUGGUAGUCCACGCCGUAAACGAUGAGUGCUAAGUGUUAGGGGGUUUCCGCCCCUUAGUGCUGCAGCUAACGCAUUAAGCACUCCGCCUGGGGAGUACGACCGCAAGGUUGAAACUCAAAGGAAUUGACGGGGACCCGCACAAGCGGUGGAGCAUGUGGUUUAAUUCGAAGCAACGCGAAGAACCUUACCAAAUCUUGACAUCCUUUGACAACUCUAGAGAUAGAGCCUUCCCCUUCGGGGGACAAAGUGACAGGUGGUGCAUGGUUGUCGUCAGCUCGUGUCGUGAGAUGUUGGGUUAAGUCCCGCAACGAGCGCAACCCUUAAGCUUAGUUGCCAUCAUUAAGUUGGGCACUCUAAGUUGACUGCCGGUGACAAACCGGAGGAAGGUGGGGAUGACGUCAAAUCAUCAUGCCCCUUAUGAUUUGGGCUACACACGUGCUACAAUGGACAAUACAAAGGGCAGCGAAACCGCGAGGUCAAGCAAAUCCCAUAAAGUUGUUCUCAGUUCGGAUUGUAGUCUGCAACUCGACUACAUGAAGCUGGAAUCGCUAGUAAUCGUAGAUCAGCAUGCUACGGUGAAUACGUUCCCGGGUCU